rfam:Gossypium arboreum cultivar AKA8401 contig_35324_1, whole genome shotgun sequence.
AAUCCAUGAUGAGGACACUUACGAAGAACUCUUUGAAUCUUUCUCACGCCUCGUACAAGGACUCACCAUCCAAUUGUUGAAAAGUGGUGAUAUCAUUGUGCAACU